rnacentral:rRNA from 1 species
AGCAGCCGCGGUAAUUCCAGCUCCAAUAGCGUAUAUUAAAGUUGUUGCAGUUAAAAGCUCGUAGUUGAAUUUCGGGAUCAAAUUGUUGGUCGUGCUUCGGUACGCACUGGCAUUAUUGGUUCCUACCUUCUGAAGAACCGCGAUGUCAUUAAUUUGGUGUCGUGGGGAAUCAGGACUGUUACUUUGAAAAAUUAGAGUGUUUAAAGCAGGCUUACGCUUGAAUACAUUAGCAUGGAAUAAUGAAAUAGGACGUUUGAUUCUAUUUUGUUGGUUUCUAGGAUCGACGUAAUGAUUAAUAGGGAUAGUUGGGGGCAUUAGUAUUCAAUUGUCAGAGGUGAAAUUCUUGGAUUUAUUGAAGACUAACUACUGCGAAAGCAUUUGCCAAGGAUGUUUUCAUUAAUCAAGAACGAAAGUUAGGGGAUCGAAGACGAUCAGAUACCGUCGUAGUCUUAACCAUAAACUAUGC